UACGUAGGGUGCAGGCGUUAAUCGGAAUUACUGGGCGUAAAGCGUGCGCAGGCGGUUUGCUAAGACAGGUGUGAAAUCCCCGGGCUUAACCUGGGAACUGCGCUUGUUACUGGCAGGCUUGAGUGUGGCAGAGGGGGGUGGAAUUCCACGUGUAGCAGUGAAAUGCGUAGAGAUGUGGAGGAACACCGAUGGCGAAGGCAGCCCCCUGGGCUAACACUGACGCUCAUGCACGAAGCGUGGGGAGCAAACAGG
rnacentral:rRNA from 1 species